rnacentral:rRNA from 1 species
CAGGAAUAUUGCUCAAUGGGAGAAAUCCUGAAGCAGCAACGCCGCGUGGAGGAUGAAGGGUCUAUGACUUGUAAACUCCUGUAAAGAAGGAAAAAAUUCCCAUUAGAUGGGAGAUGAUGGUACUUCUGGAGUAAGCCCCGGCUAACUACGUGCCAGCAGCCGCGGUAAUACGUAGGGGGCAAGCGUUGUCCGGAUUUACUGGGUGUAAAGGGUGCUCAGGCGGAUUUGUAAGUCAGAGGUGAAAUCUUACAGCUUAACUGUGAAACUGCCUUUGAUACUGCAAGCCUAGAGUAUGGAAGAGAGUGAUGGAAUAUCUGGUGUAGCAGUGAAAUGCGUAGAUAUCAGAUAGAACACCAAUGGCGAAGGCAGUCACUUGGUCCAUUACUGACGCUAAAGCACGAAAGCGUGGGUAGCAAACA